rnacentral:ribozyme from 13 species
AAGAAAAAGAAUAUGAUGAAAAAUAAAAACAUGUUUUUUUCAUCGACGAUCUGCUACUUCUUUUCCUUUUCUCUUUAGAGCCCCUCUCUUCUCCUUUCAAUUUGGGGUAUUGGCAAGGAUUUGAUCAAGGUCAGAUUGAGAAAAAAGAGAAACAAUUUUCGAUG